rnacentral:tRNA from 1 species
GCCCUCGUAGUCUAGCGGUCUAAGACACUGGCCUUUCACGCCAGGGAUCGCCGGUUCAAAUCCGAUCGAGGGUA